rnacentral:rRNA from 1 species
AUUGAACGCUGGCGGCAGGCCUAACACAUGCAAGUCGAGCGAGCGGCGGAAGGGUGAGGAAUGUAUGGGGAUCUGCCCGGGAGAGGGGGAUAACUAAUGGAAACGGUGGCUAAUACCGCAUACUUUCGGAUGGACCCAGUUGGGAAUAGCUAGUGGGUGGGGUAAAGGCUCACCUAGGCGACGAUCUGUGACUGGUCUGAGAGGAUGAUCAGUCACACGGGGACUGAGACACGGCCCAGACGCCUACAGGAGGCAGCAGUGGGGAAUAUUGCACAAUGGGCGAAAGCCUGAUGCAGCCAUGCCGCGUGUAUGAAGAAGGCCUUCGGGUUGUAAAGUACUUUCAGCGGGGAGGCGUUACCAGCAGAAUAAGCACCGGCUAACUCCGUGCCAGCAGCCGCGGUAAUAC